AGCUCUAAUAGCGUAUAUUAAAGUUGUUGCGGUUAAAAAGCUCGUAGUUGGAUCUCGGGAGGGCACGCACGGUCCGGUGAAAACCGCGAACAGCUGCGGGCCUUCCUUCCGUCUGGAGGCGGUACCCGGUUCCACUUGAUUGUGGGGUGGGUCUGAAUCCAGGACCUUUACUUUGAACAAAUUAGAGUGUUUAAAGCAGGCAAUUCGCCCGAAUACAUUAGCAUGGAAUGACAAUAUAGGACUUUAGUUCUAUUUUGUUGGUUUUAAGAACUGAAGUAAUGAUUAAUAGGGACGGUUGGGGGCAUUCGUAUUACACUGUCAGAGGUGAAAUUCGUAGAUCUGUGUAAGACGAACUUCUGCGAAAGCAUUUGCCAAGGAUGUUUUCAUUG
rnacentral:rRNA from 1 species